CCUACGGGGGGCUGCAGUGGGGAAUUUUCCGCAAUGGGCGAAAGCCUGACGGAGCAAUACCGCGUGAGGGAGGAAGGCUCUUGGGUUGUAAACCUCUUUUCUCAGGGAAGAAUUCAAUGACGGUACCUGAGGAAUAAGCAUCGGCUAACUCCGUGCCAGCAGCCGCGGUAAUACGGAGGAUGCAAGCGUUAUCCGGAAUGAUUGGGCGUAAAGCGUCCGCAGGUGGCUAUGUAAGUCUGCUGUUAAAGAGUGAGGCUCAACCUCAUAAGAGCAGUGGAAACUACAUGGCUAGAGUGCGUUCGGGGCAGAGGGAAUUCCUGGUGUAGCGGUGAAAUGCGUAGAGAUCAGGAAGAACACCGGUGGCGAAAGCGCUCUGCUAGGCCGCAACUGACACUGAGGGACGAAAGCUAGGGGAGCGAAUGGGAUUAGAUACCCUAGUAGUC
rnacentral:rRNA from 1 species